GUAGUCUCGCACAGAUGCAUAUCAAUAAGCGGAGGAAAAGAAACUAACAAGGAUUCCCCUAGUAACGGCGAGUGAAGCGGGAAGAGCUCAAAUUUGAAAUCUUAAAGGGUUUCCCUUUACGAAUUGUAGUUUAAAGAAGUGUUUUCUGUUGAGGUUUUGGUAAAAGUUCUUUGGAAUAGGACAUCAUAGAGGGUGAGAAUCCCGUAUUUGACCUUUACUUUCAACUUUGUGAUACACUUUCAAAGAGUCGGAUUGUUUGGGAAUGCAGUCCAAAAUGGGUGGUAAAUUUCAUCUAAAGCUAAAUAUUGGCGAGAGACCGAUAGCGUAACAAGUACCGUGAGGGAAAGAUGAAAAGAACUUUGAAAAGAGAGUUAAACAGUACGUGAAAUUGUCAAAAGGGAAGCGUUUGACACCAGUGUUGUUUUUCUGAAAAUCAAUUAAAGAACUGUUUAUGCUAAGUUGUUUAGACUUUAUCAGCUAACUGUUUAGUUUUGAGCUUUUCUUUAAUGCACUUUUCAGUUAACAAGUCAACAUCAAUUUCUUUUGCUGUAAAAAAGCUUGAGGAAGGUGGCUUGAGAUUCGUCUUAAGUGUUUAUAGCCUCUUGCCUAUGCAGUCGGAGAGAUUGAGGUCUGCAGCGUAGAUCCUUCGGGGCUUAAAUAGCAUUUGUGCUAAGUUAUAGCAUUUUAUAGACAACUUGUUGACUAUGAUUUGUCUUGUAGCUUACUCGCUUAUGUUAUUUUACCUACGCUUAGGAUGUUGAUCUGUAGUGCGUGCG
rnacentral:rRNA from 1 species